rnacentral:lncRNA from 1 species
UGCCGUUCGAGAACAUUCGAUUCGAGGCUGUUGGUGUACCUACGUUUCACCAGUCCCCGCCAUCCGAGUCUUUACAAUUUUAUUCUUUUUUGCCCUUGCAUGUUUUGUUUCUGUACAUCGCCGGCCGAAUAAAUCCGUUUAUUCGUUGACUGUAUUCCGUUCAUUUAACGUUUUAUUAAAUUCGUCCCGAACAAAUCCAAGCCAACCGGAUCGGUGCGGCUACGCAGCCGUCGUUCAGUGGAGAACACACUUUCAACAUCAUUAAAUUGAGUUUGUGCAGAUUUAUGAAGUUUGAUUUAUGAGCUUCAAACAAACCAAUGUCUAACAGUCCUGUACCUGUUUCAGCAGUCAAUAAUAGAUCGAACUCAAAUUCAAGUGUUGUUUAUUAUUAAUUUAUUAAGUGACAGCAAAACCGUUGAAGAUUUUAAAAACAGUUAACUUCAAAAGUUGUUUGGAGAUAAAAAAGAAACUGGUUCUGUAAAUGAUUUAAUUUAAUUAAGUCACGGAAAAUAUGAUACUAAACAGUCUGAUAGAAAUAAUAAAACUAAAACGCUGAAUAUAAUAUAUCAACAAAAUAUCAAUGCUUGUUAGGAAAUCCCUUGAAUGACAAUUCAAAUAUUUCUAAAUCUCUGAAUUCAGUAAACACGAGUACUGUUAAAGAUGAUAUUUUGAUAUACAAAAAUAACCAAUCUUUGUUAAAGUAUAUUGUCUGAACGUAUUAGAUUAAAUAAUAGUAUCCAAAGUGUGAUUAAAUUAAUUGAUAGUAGUUGUUCAUUGGCUGCUGAUAAAUUUAUUAUUAAUGAUAAUAUAUUAUUGCAAUAAAAAAUAAGGAGUUCUAACUGAAUCAAAAUAAAUGUUUUCAAGUUUUAGAGUUAAAAUUAAUGAAAAAAGAAGACGAACAAAUUAACAAAAAAUAAAACAAAAUAAAAGCGAAUUGUGAGAAUAUGACCAAAGUUGCUCUGGAAAAAUGCUAUUUGCCGAUAGCAGUGAAAAAAAAAAAUCUAUGUUAUGAUUCCGCUGGAAAUGUAUAUUAUCACUAUGCGAAAUUAAUAACAGUAUACAAUCAUGAGAAUAUGAAACAUAUGAAGUUUGUCACGAGUUCUUUUUAUAAAAAAACUAAGAGAAAGAACAUAGAAGAAUAAAAGAAGAUAAAAGGGAAAGAGAACUUAAAAAUAUAUUGUAAAAUUAAUUGUAUAAAAUAGAGAACAAUGAAGGGAAUGAAUAAAUUAAGAUCUGUGAGGAAAUUGCUCCUAUUUCAAAUUCCCAAUAAUUACUAAAAUAUGUUCAGAAUAGAUACACUAUAUCUGAUGAGAAAGACAGAAACCAUGACAGAGCUGUCACUAGAUCAGCAAAGUUCAUCACAGAACUAAGAUUUAAAAAUAACCCUCUUACUGUAUUAGUAUCUGUAUAGUAUCGACGUCGUCAACGAGACGAUCGUCGUCAAAUCGUGUCACUUUUACCGCCGGCCGUCCGAGGACGAUUCAUCGCUUUACCAAUACCCGUGGCAGACGUCAAGAAACCGUGAGUCAAAUAUUCUCAAAUACAUAACUUUCAAAUGUCCCCCCUGAUGUAUUGUAAACCCUAAUUUUUUCAACUGUACAAUUCGUAAGAAUUAUAAACAAUCAAAAGAAACAAUGUAAUUGACACAUUGUAUUUAAAUAACUAUAAGAUUUGUCUAAAUUAACAGAUAACUUUUCAUCAACAAACUGUUGAGUUUUGUUACACAGCACACCAGGGGGCAAUGACCAAUUGACUUUAUAAAGCAACAAGAAAAUAAACUAAUACAUAAGCAAAGAGAAAAACAAAUCAUGAGUACUUUGCAGUUAGAAAAUCCGCCUCCUAAGAAACGAGAUCAUAAACGUCAAGUCCAAAAUUCAAAACUUCAAGAGUCCAAUAGGAAAAAUGGAGGUCUACACAACAACGUCAAUAAAAAUAAAACUGUGGAUGCAGAACUUGCGUCAAAAAGAUGAGGUGUCUGUUGUGUCGUGGCUCCCGGACUGUCUUCUCCGACGUACUGAACGUAACCGACCGUCGGGCAUAAGCAGCGAGCUGUUUCGGUACGUGUGCCAGGAAGUCCGCGAACCUGAUCGACGAUGAGCUGAGACGGCUGUGCUGAAAUGGACUCCGAUUGCCCGUCACCGAACACAGUUUCCGCAUUUUCGAGACACGGUUAGCGUCAAGGCGUCGAAAUUUCCUAUUACGAUAUAAGGGACACAGGCUGUAGUAAAUAGUAAUGGUCACGAUUAUCACUAAUCUGAAAUAAAUGCCAAAAUAAUAAUGACGUGUGUACUGUACAUAAAUGUUAUAAUGUGAAAAAUAAUAAUAAUUGUGUAAAUAUUAUUUUUAUAAUGUGUAUAAUAUUCGAUGUUGUAUGUUUUUUUUAUAAUACGUUUAUAUCGUGUAUAUUUAUUUAUAAUGUGUAAGUAUAUUACAUUAGAAACUUUUAUAUAUUAUGUUUAUUAUGUCAGUCUAAGUCACAAGGAGCGUAGGUAUAUCCGAAAUUACAAAUUUUUCAGGAGAAGUAAAAACAUUUCAUCGGCGUAAUUCCAUCAUUCGAUACGAUGAUUUAUAACUAUCAGUUUCAUGGAGGAUGAAAUGAUACAAUUUUAGUUACAACAUUAUCAUACUAUGCGGUUUUUUCUUUAUUUAAUUCACCAAUAAUCCCGAAAUCCAAAAAAAUGAGUUACGCUCUUUACCACUUAGACCGACGAUGUGUAUAUUAUAUUGUAUAUAUUUUUUUUAUAAUGUGUAUAGUAUAUUUUAUUGUAUAUAAUUAUGUUCUGUAACAUAUUUUAAAACUACUUAUUGCUUUAAUCAAUUACCUACUUAGUUAAAUUAAGAUUAUUAUAUUUGAUAUUUAGUUAUAAUAUGCCACAGUUAUUCAUUGUUGAAUUAUAGAAAAAGAAAUCAAAAUUUAAAUAUUCCCAUUGUAAAAAUAUAUUAGAAUCUUUGUAUUAAGUUUUCAAGCUCAAUGAAUACAGUUUUACAAAUAAUAACAAAACUUUUUAAAAACAAAACAAGAUAAUCAUUUUUAAUCAAAUAAUAAACUAAAAACGUAGGUAGGUACAUAGAUGAUAAUUAAUUUAUUAUAUUAAAUGAAAUAUUGUAUUAGAGGAAAAAAUAAUUAUAUCAUAAUCAAUGUAACUAAAUUAUAUACUUUUAUAUGUAAACUAUGAAAAGUUGUAAACCUAUAAUAUUGAUGUUUGUAAACAUGAAUUGUAAUGAAACAUAAUUGUAAACGAAAUAACUUGUAAAUGUAAUAUUGUAACUUACUGAGGGUGCUCGUAAUACGGAUCAAAAUGCCAGCAUCCGCUGUUUUUUGCGAGAGGCCACCAAAGUCUUCUAUUUACUUCAUCCCAUCAUCAUCGAAAAUCUAAGUCUAGUUUUUAAGUAUUAAUCCGAUUUGUGUGCGAUUGGUGGUCAUUGCACCAAACCAAUUUCGACCACCGAGACUUCCCCCCUUAUAACUAAACUCAUCUUCCAUAUUAUUCCCGUGUACAAAUUCGACUUCCUGGUUCCCCAUAGUCGCAAGUAUAUUUUAGUCCCCUCCUGUCAUCGUCGUGUUCGUUGUCGUAUCUAGUGUUGCCUGCUCCAUCGGUUUCAAGAAGGGCACGUUGAGUGGCCUAUCCAUGCCCCUGAAUCUCAAAUUCUGUAAUCACUCGACAAGUUAUUACUAUUCACUUUUACUAUAAAAAAAGAUAUAAUAUAACACUACAUCUAACAGCAUAAUCGCCAAACAAGGAUUCAGACGUCAUAGAGUCGAAA